rnacentral:tRNA from 1 species
AGCUCAGUUGGAAGAGCAUGGUGCUUGCAAUGCCAUUAUUGUGGGUUCAAUUCCCAC